rnacentral:rRNA from 1 species
CCUACGGGCGGCAGCAGUGGGGAAUAUUGCACAAUGGGGGAAACCCUGAUGCAGCGAUGCCGCGUGGAGGAAGAAGGUUUUCGGAUUGUAAACUCCUUUUAUCAGGGACGAUAAUGACGGUGGCUGAUGAAAAAGCUCCGGCUAACUACGUGCCAGCAGCCGCGGUAAUAAGUAGGGAGCGAGCGUUGUCCGGAAUUACUGGGGGUAAAGGGAGAGUAGGCGGGACGGUAAGUCAGAUGUGAAAACUGAGGGCUUAACCUGAAGAUUGCAUUUGAAACUGCUGUUCUUGAGUGAAGGAGAGGAAAGCGGAAUUCCUAGUGUAGCGGUGAAAUGCGUAGAUAUUAGGAGGAACAUCGGUGGCGAAGGCGGCUUACUGGGCUUUUACUGACGCUGAGGCACGAAAGCGUGGGGAGCAAACAGGAUUAGAUACCCUUGUAGUC